GAUGAACGCUGGCGGCGUGCCUAAUACAUGCAAGUCGAGCGAACAGACGAGGAGCUUGCUCCUCUGACGUUAGCGGCGGACGGGUGAGUAACACGUGGAUAACCUACCUAUAAGACUGGGAUAACUUCGGGAAACCGGAGCUAAUACCGGAUAAUAUAUUGAACCGCAUGGUUCAAUAGUGAAAGACGGUUUUGCUGUCACUUAUAGAUGGAUCCGCGCCGCAUUAGCUAGUUGGUAAGGUAACGGCUUACCAAGGCAACGAUGCGUAGCCGACCUGAGAGGGUGAUAGGCCGCACUGGAACUGAGACACGGUCCAGACUCCUACGGGAGGCAGCAGUAGGGAACCUUCCGCAAUGGGCGAAAGCUUGACGGAGCAACGCCGCGUGAGUGAUGAAGGUCUUCGGAUCGUAAAACUCGGUUAUUAGUGAAGAACAAAUGUGGAAGUAACUAUGCACGUCGUGACGGUACCUAGUCAGAAAGCCACGGCUAACUACGUG
rnacentral:rRNA from 1 species